rnacentral:rRNA from 1 species
UUUGUAUCUUGCUGUCAAGUAGAGGACCUUGGUAAUCUGAUCAAGCUUUAGGCCUACCGCAUGCUCUUGAUCACUUAUUACUCUUUCAAGCAGUUUGUGCGGAAGGCUGAGAAAGUUGGGACCAGAAACUGUGCUAGGAUACGCCUUGGUUGCCGUCUCCGUUCCCUAGGUGGCCCUCUUGUUGUGCGUUCACUUGGUUGA